rnacentral:rRNA from 1 species
UACGUAGGGGGCUAGCGUUGUCUGGAUUUAUUGGGCGUAAAGAGCGUGUAGGCGGCCAGGUAGGUCUGCUGUGAAAACUCGAGGCUCAACCUCGAGACGUCGGCGGAAACCAUCUGGCUAGAGUCCGGAAGAGGAGAGUGGAAUUCCUGGUGUAGCGGUGAAAUGCGCAGAUAUCAGGAAGAACACCCGUGGCGAAGGCGGCUCUCUGGGACGGUACUGACGCUGAGACGCGAAAGCGUGGGGAGCGAACAGG